CCUACGGGUGGCAGCAGUGAGGAAUAUUGGUCAAUGGUCGGGAGACUGAACCAGCCAAGCCGCGUGAGGGAUGAAGGUACAGAGUAUCGUAAACCUCUUUUGUCAGGGAACAAAGGCGGGGACGUGUCCCCGGAUGAGUGUACCUGAAGAAAAAGCAUCGGCUAACUCCGUGCCAGCAGCCGCGGUAAUACGGAGGAUGCGAGCGUUAUCCGGAUUUAUUGGGUUUAAAGGGUGCGCAGGCGGUCUGUUAAGUCAGCGGUCAAAGCCCGGGGCUCAACCCCGGACCGCCGUUGAAACUGGCAGUAUCGAGUUGGAGAGAAGUAUGCGGAAUGCGCGGUGUAGCGGUGAAAUGCAUAGAUAUCACGCAGAACUCCGAUUGCGAAGGCAGCAUACCGGCGCGCAACUGACGCUCAUGCACGAAAGCGUGGGUAUCGAACAGGAUUAGAUACCCGAGUAGUC
rnacentral:rRNA from 1 species